rnacentral:rRNA from 1 species
AACGAACGCUGGCGGCGUGCCUAACACAUGCAAGUCGAACGUGAAAGUCCUUCGGGAUGAGUAAAGUGGCGCACGGGUGAGUAACACGUAGGUGACCUGCCUUUUAGAGGGGAAUAACCAGAAGAAAUUUUGGCUAAUGCCGCAUACGAAGUACAAAUCUAAAAGUAGUACUUGAAAGAAUGCCUCUGUAUAUGCAUUCGCUAAAAGAUGGGCCUGCGGUACAUUAGCUAGUUGGUGGGGUAAUGGCCUACCAAGGCGACGAUGUAUAUCCAGUCUGAGAGGAUGAUCGGACACACUGGAACUGAGACACGGUCCAGACUCCUACGGGAGGUAGCAGUGGGGAAUAUUGCGCAAUGGGGGAAACCCUGACGCAGCAACGCCGCGUGAGUGAGGAAGGACUUCGGUCUGUAAAGCUCUGUUAAUGUGGAAAAAUGGUAGUUGGUCUAAUAGGCCGAUUAUUUGAUGGUACACAUAGAGGAAGCACCGGCUAACUUCGUGCCAGCAGCCGCAGUAAUAC